UUUCAUUUAUCUCUUGUUGCAGCGUCUGUUUGCGUUCUUUCUCUGUUUCCUUGUGUUUCACUUCUGUUGAAUUGCUUUGGCUUUAUGGACUGUACUUUUAGAGUUGGACCACAUAUCUGCUUACCAGUGCUGAGUAAUGAACUAAUAAACACACGCAGAGAGUCAAGAGGUGCAGUUCAGUGACUCAGAGCAGUUGAUGAGGCCUAGCAGACAGCGAUGGGUUGCAACUGUCUGCAUGUGGACACCUGCUAAAAGGAAUUACAUCUGUGACCACCUCGGACGCUUUUCUUUCAGACUGUACAGCUACAAAUAUUUCUGUUGCCAGGCUGAAUCCACAGACCAGCAACAUUUCAGGUUCACAGGCGCGAAUGCAGACGAGUCAUGGUGAUGCACACCCCGACCGUUUCCAGCUCUGUGGAACUUUGAACACCAUGGGAACUUUCUGAGUGGUGUUUACUCAGCAUGGCGCUAUCAUUAUGCAGCUUUAGAUGGAUUUCUAAUAAAAUAAGCAUAAAUUAUACAUGCAAGGGCAUCUGUAGCUUCAAGCUGUAUGACAGUUUCUUAACUUUGAGUUUAUAAAGUCAAAAGUCUUGCUUUA